rnacentral:snRNA from 1 species
AUCGCUUCUCGGCCUUUUGGCUAAGAUCAAGUGCAGUAUAAAACACAUUAUUUUAUUUCAUCAUCUGUGAAAUCGUAUUUUUUAUUAUGGCAUCUUUAUAGAUGAAGCAACUGAGAUUCAGAAAGUUCAGGUGACUCACU